GAUUGAACGCUGGCGGCAGGCCUAACACAUGCAAGUCGAACGGUAACAGGAAGCAGCUUGCUGCUUUGCUGACGAGUGGCGGACGGGUGAGUAAUGUCUGGGAAACUGCCUGAUGGAGGGGGAUAACUACUGGAAACGGUAGCUAAUACCGCAUAACGUCGCAAGACCAAAGAGGGGGACCUUCGGGCCUCUUGCCAUCGGAUGUGCCCAGAUGGGAUUAGCUAGUAGGUGGGGUAACGGCUCACCUAGGCGACGAUCCCUAGCUGGUCUGAGAGGAUGACCAGCCACACUGGAACUGAGACACGGUCCAGACUCCUACGGGAGGCAGCAGUGGGGAAUAUUGCACAAUGGGCGCAAGCCUGAUGCAGCCAUGCCGCGUGUAUGAAGAAGGCCUUCGGGUUGUAAAGUACUUUCAGCGGGGAGGAAGGGAGUAAAGUUAAUACCUUUGCUCAUUGACGUUACCCGCAGAAGAAGCACCGGCUAACUCCGUGCCAGCAGCCGCGGUAAUACGGAGGGUGCAAGCGUUAAUCGGAAUUACUGGGCGUAAAGCGCACGCAGGCGGUUUGUUAAGUCAGAUGUGAAAUCCCCGGGCUCAACCUGGGAACUGCAUCUGAUACUGGCAAGCUUGAGUCUCGUAGAGGGGGGUAGAAUUCCAGGUGUAGCGGUGAAAUGCGUAGAGAUCUGGAGGAAUACCGGUGGCGAAGGCGGCCCCCUGGACGAAGACUGACGCUCAGGUGCGAAAGCGUGGGGAGCAAACAGGAUUAGAUACCCUGGUAGUCCACGCCGUAAACGAUGUCGACUUGGAGGUUGUGCCCUUGAGGCGUGGCUUCCGGAGCUAACGCGUUAAGUCGACCGCCUGGGGAGUACGGCCGCAAGGUUAAAACUCAAAUGAAUUGACGGGGGCCCGCACAAGCGGUGGAGCAUGUGGUUUAAUUCGAUGCAACGCGAAGAACCUUACCUGGUCUUGACAUCCACGGAAGUUUUCAGAGAUGAGAAUGUGCCUUCGGGAACCGUGAGACAGGUGCUGCAUGGCUGUCGUCAGCUCGUGUUGUGAAAUGUUGGGUUAAGUCCCGCAACGAGCGCAACCCUUAUCCUUUGUUGCCAGCGGUCCGGCCGGGAACUCAAAGGAGACUGCCAGUGAUAAACUGGAGGAAGGUGGGGAUGACGUCAAGUCAUCAUGGCCCUUACGACCAGGGCUACACACGUGCUACAAUGGCGCAUACAAAGAGAAGCGACCUCGCGAGAGCAAGCGGACCUCAUAAAGUGCGUCGUAGUCCGGAUUGGAGUCUGCAACUCGACUCCAUGAAGUCGGAAUCGCUAGUAAUCGUGGAUCAGAAUGCCACGGUGAAUACGUUCCCGGGCCUUGUACACACCGCCCGUCACACCAUGGGAGUGGGUUGCAAAAGAAGUAGGUAGCUUAACCUUCGGGAGGGCGCUUACCACUUUGUGAUUCAUGACUGGGGUGAAGUCGUAACAAGGUAACCGUAGGGGAACCUGCGGUUGGAUCACCUCCUU
rnacentral:rRNA from 1 species